AUAUUACUUUAUAGUAAUUUAUCUUAGUCCAGGUGCAGUGCCUCACACCUGUAAUCCCAGCACUUUGGAAGGCUGAGCUGGGAGGAUUGCUUGAGGCUGGCAGUUCAAGACUUCUUCCAUUUUAAGGGGCCUUGUGAUUACAGCUGGUCCAUCUGGAUAUUCUAAGAUAUUCUCCCUAUUUUAAGGAGAGAAAUCUGAAAUCUGAGGUGCAGUUGAUUUGAAUCCAGGAAAUCUAAGGAAAAAGUUCAAGCUCUUAAUCAUUUCAUACCCUUCUUGUUGCUAACUUAAACUUUUUUUUUAAAAAAGUUAAUCUUGUCUAUGAAGCAUGAAUCUAUAAUACUAGGGAAAAAACUGGCUAACUUGAAGAAAAAAUAAAUUGAAAUGAAAAGCAAUUAAUUCCUCUUAAUAUGAAUAAAGGAUGAUCUAAAUGC
rnacentral:lncRNA from 1 species